GAACGGCAGCACGGGUGCUUGCACCUGGUGGCGAGUGGCGAACGGGUGAGUAAUACAUCGGAACAUGUCCUGUAGUGGGGGAUAGCCCGGCGAAAGCCGGAUUAAUACCGCAUACGAUCUACGGAUGAAAGCGGGGGACCUUCGGGCCUCGCGCUAUAGGGUUGGCCGAUGGCUGAUUAGCUAGUUGGUGGGGUAAAGGCCUACCAAGGCGACGAUCAGUAGCUGGUCUGAGAGGACGACCAGCCACACUGGGACUGAGACACGGCCCAGACUCCUACGGGAGGCAGCAGUGGGGAAUUUUGGACAAUGGGCGAAAGCCUGAUCCAGCAAUGCCGCGUGUGUGAAGAAGGCCUUCGGGUUGUAAAGCACUUUUGUCCGGAAAGAAAUCCUUGGUUCUAAUAUAGCCGGGGGAUGACGGUACCGGAAGAAUAAGCACCGGCUAACUACGUGCCAGCAGCCGCGGUAAUACGUAGGGUGCGAGCGUUAAUCGGAAUUACUGGCCGUAAAGCGUGCGCAGGCGGUUAGCUAAGACCGAUGUGAAAUCCCCGGGCUCA
rnacentral:rRNA from 1 species